rnacentral:rRNA from 1 species
ACAAAAAUGCACAUGCUGUGAGCUCGAUGAGUAGGGCGGGACACGUGGUAUCCUGUCUGAAUAUGGGGGGACCAUCCUCCAAGGCUAAAUACUCCUGACUGACCGAUAGUGAACCAGUACCGUGAGGGAAAGGCGAAAAGAACCCCGGCGAGGGGAGUGAAAAAGAACCUGAAACCGUGUACGUACAAGCAGUGGGAGCCUCUUUAUGGGGUGACUGCGUACCUUUUGUAUAAUGGGUCAGCGACUUAUAUUCUGUAGCAAGGUUAACCGAAUAGGGGAGCCGAAGGGAAACCGAGUCUUAACUGGGCGUUAAGUUGCAGGGUAUAGACCCGAAACCCGGUGAUCUAGCCAUGGGCAGGUUGAAGGUUGGGUAACACUAACUGGAGGACCGAACCGACUAAUGUUGAAAAAUUAGCGGAUGACUUGUGGCUGGGGGUGAAAGGCCAAUCAAACCGGGAGAUAGCUGGUUCUCCCCGAAAGCUAUUUAGGUAGCGCCUCGUGAAUUCAUCUCCGGGGGUAGAGCACUGUUUCGGCAAGGGGGUCAUCCCGACUUACCAACCCGAUGCAAACUGCGAAUACCGGAGAAUGUUAUCACGGGAGACACACGGCGGGUGCUAACGUCCGUCGUGAAGAGGGAAACAACCCAGACCGCCAGCUAAGGUCCCAAAGUCAUGGUUAAGUGGGAAACGAUGUGGGAAGGCCCAGACAGCCAGGAUGUUGGCUUAGAAGCAGCCAUCAUUUAAAGAAAGCGUAAUAGCUCACUGGUCGAGUCGGCCUGCGCGGAAGAUGUAACGGGGCUAAACCAUGCACCGAAGCUGCGGCAGCGACACUAUGUGUUGUUGGGUAGGGGAGCGUUCUGUAAGCCUGUGAAGGUGUACUGUGAGGUAUGCUGGAGGUAUCAGAAGUGCGAAUGCUGACAUAAGUAACGAUAAAGCGGGUGAAAAGCCCGCUCGCCGGAAGACCAAGGGUUCCUGUCCAACGUUAAUCGGGGCAGGGUGAGUCGACCCCUAAGGCGAGGCCGAAAGGCGUAGUCGAUGGGAAACAGGUUAAUAUUCCUGUACUUGGUGUUACUGCGAAGGGGGGACGGAGAAGGCUAUGUUGGCCGGGCGACGGUUGUCCCGGUUUAAGCGUGUAGGCUGGUUUUCCAGGCAAAUCCGGAAAAUCAAGGCUGAGGCGUGAUGACGAGGCACUACGGUGCUGAAGCAACAAAUGCCCUGCUUCCAGGAAAAGCCUCUAAGCAUCAGGUAACAUCAAAUCGUACCCCAAACCGACACAGGUGGUCAGGUAGAGAAUACCAAGGCGCUUGAGAGAACUCGGGUGAAGGAACUAGGCAAAAUGGUGCCGUAACUUCGGGAGAAGGCACGCUGAUAUGUAGGUGAAGCGACUUGCUCGUGGAGCUGAAAUCAGUCGAAGAUACCAGCUGGCUGCAACUGUUUAUUAAAAACACAGCACUGUGCAAACACGAAAGUGGACGUAUACGGUGUGACGCCUGCCCGGUGCCGGAAGGUUAAUUGAUGGGGUUAGCGGUAACGCGAAGCUCUUGAUCGAAGCCCCGGUAAACGGCGGCCGUAACUAUAACGGUCCUAAGGUAGCGAAAUUCCUUGUCGGGUAAGUUCCGACCUGCACGAAUGGCGUAAUGAUGGCCAGGCUGUCUCCACCCGAGACUCAGUGAAAUUGAACUCGCUGUGAAGAUGCAGUGUACCCGCGGCAAGACGGAAAGACCCCGUGAACCUUUACUAUAGCUUGACACUGAACAUUGAGCCUUGAUGUGUAGGAUAGGUGGGAGGCUUUGAAGUGUGGACGCCAGUCUGCAUGGAGCCGGCCUUGAAAUACCACCCUUUAAUGUUUGAUGUUCUAACGUUGGCCCCUGAUCGGGGUUGCGGACAGUGUCUGGUGGGUAGUUUGACUGGGGCGGUCUCCUCCUAAAGAGUAACGGAGGAGCACGAAGGUUGGCUAAUCCUGGUCGGACAUCAGGAGGUUAGUGCAAUGGCAUAAGCCAGCUUGACUGCGAGCGUGACGGCGCGAGCAGGUGCGAAAGCAGGUCAUAGUGAUCCGGUGGUUCUGAAUGGAAGGGCCAUCGCUCAACGGAUAAAAGGUACUCCGGGGAUAACAGGCUGAUACCGCCCAAGAGUUCAUAUCGACGGCGGUGUUUGGCACCUCGAUGUCGGCUCAUCACAUCCUGGGGCUGAAGUAGGUCCCAAGGGUAUGGCUGUUCGCCAUUUAAAGUGGUACGCGAGCUGGGUUUAGAACGUCGUGAGACAGUUCGGUCCCUAUCUGCCGUGGGCGCUGGAGAACUGAGGGGGGCUGCUCCUAGUACGAGAGGACCGGAGUGGACGCAUCACUGGUGUUCGGGUUGUCAUGCCAAUGGCACUGCCCGGUAGCUAAAUGCGGAAGAGAUAAGUGCUGAAAGCAUCUAAGCACGAAACUUGCCCCGAGAUGAGUUCUCCCUGAGACUUAGAGUCUCCUGAAGGAACGUUGAAGACGACGACGUUGAUAGGCCGGGUGUGUAAGCGCAGCGAUGCGUUGAGCUAACCGGUACUAAUGAACCGUGAGGCUUAACCUU